rnacentral:ncRNA from 2 species
AGACUUUCACGCAGUUUUGGUGCUCGCGCGCGGGUUCUCUCUCGCGCAGUCAAACGGGAAGCAGGGCGCGUUUUCUUCGCACGAUCGAACGGACGUCAACCUGCGCUGCCCCCGCAACGGUAAACGAUCGCCGCGCGCACGAUGCUGCAUCGCGUGCGCAGCAAGCCGCUUCCAGGCCACUGCGAUGUGCGGGAAGGCGAAGCGGCGUUUUUGUCAGCCCGGAUACCGGCCAGACAUUCGACGGGUUC